AAGUUAGUUGGCUGGCAACACUCGUUUUUUCAGGUUCAGUUUCAGCUUGUUGUCUUGUCUUGUUCAACAAAAAAUAGUAAACUGUCAAAAUGUCGGUCAAUGCACAAGUUCAUUUGAGUAGCAGCGAAAAUACUAUAAAGAGUGAUAAAUGUUUAAAACAGUUGUUUCCUAAACGGGAUGAGUGCUCACAUGUGUCUUGUUAUUGCGAGGAAAAUGUCUGGAAACUGUGUCAAGAUGUAUCAAUAAGAAUCCCAGAGGAAUUGGAUAGAUGUUAUAUAGUUUUUAUUUCUAACCCUUGUCGUACGGUGCCUCUGUGGAAACAAAGGGCUGGGCGCGAGGAAGAUCGUCUCGUCAUAUGGGAUUAUCAUGUGAUAUUUCUAUACUCCUGGGACAGCAAAACAUGUCUUGUAUAUGAUCUGGAUUCUGAGUUGCCAUUCCCAACAUUUUUCCACAAAUAUGUUACAGAAACAUUUCGCACUGAUCAAGUUCUCAAGUCAGACUUUCACAGGUUCUUUCGUGUAGUGCCUGCUAAGCAGUUCUUGCAGAACUUUGCAUCUGACCGCCGUCACAUGAAGAGACCAGAUGGGUCAUGGAUUAAGCCGCCGCCACCGUAUCCAGCAAUAUGUACUUCAACUUCAACCCACAACUUAGACGAGUACAUCAACAUGGACUUAGGAGUUGGCCCUGGUCAGGUAUUUAACUUGACUGAUUUUGUUCAGCGGUUCUACAAAGUAAACAAGUAGUACAAAUUAUGUGCUGAUAGAUAGUGAAAUAUUGUUUUAAAGUUAGUUCCAUGACCCAAAUGGUUUGUGUUAUGUUGAUUAUGUUUUAAUAAUCUUUGUUUUGUAUGUACCUUAGAAGUUUCUUCCCACCUUACAUACUGAAUGUAAAAAUUAUCAUUUAUUGCUACCAAUAAUACAGUUUAUUGUAUUUAUUAGUUUAAUAUCUCCUUGUGUCAUAAUUUAGAGAGAUUUUUGACUUGAUUAGUUAUUGUUGUCCCCAAUGUUGUAUUAAAAAUACCUUAAAAUUUUCAAGCACAAUAAAUUAACGAAUUUUUUCCACAAAACACAAAGAUAAUGCACAAAUAUUAAUAGAAUCAAACAGUUAAAAGCUAUACCCACAAUAUUGUUAUGUAGGUUUAACUGAAUAAAUAUUGAGAUUAUACAUUAUUAGUAGUUUUUAAAUUUAAAUGAUAUAAUUAUGCAGUUAUGUAAUCAGUCAGAAACCUACAUAAGAAUAUGUUAGAAAAUUAUAUACAUUUCUCAGAUAAUUUUGAAUAAAAUAAUAACUACAUAAUGGAUAUGGCAAAUUAUAUAAUUCAGGGCACUUCUAUUCCCCUUAAAAAGAUUAGCUGAUUUUGAUAUAAUUAGAUAGUUAAAUAUUAAGCGUAGGUAACUUUAAUCGAGAGGCUAGUGCUUAAAAUUUCAAUUUUAUAUGAGUAACAAGUGAGUAGUGUUUUGGAUGUUCUGCAUUUUCUUUCUAUUUGUCGUUAUUGUGAAAGAGUAUAUAAAAUAUUAUUAUUCGAAUAUAUGUGAAUCGUAUUUAUUCUCAUUUUGACUGAGGUAAUCCUUGUUUAUGGAUUGUGUGUUACCUUGAGUGAUAUAAAUUAAUAUUUAAGUAACUUUAUAGUAGUGUAUAUGGUCGCAAGUAGCUUUUGUAUGUUGUUAAACUAUUUAAUAAUUUUGUAACAACUUUUAUACACUCUUUUUAUUCUUCCCUAGCACCCUUAGAAAAUUGAUAAAAAUACCAAAAAUAUAUUUACGAAUAUUCGCUUACGGUAAGGGUUAAUCCAAAGUUUGAAUUGUAUGAUUCAUUUCUAAGGAGAUAAGAGUUGUUUACGUCCUUCCACUUCCACCUAUGUAUUAAUUUAAUUAUGCAAUUUAAGGAAAUCUUAUCUAUUGUUCUAAAUCUUGAAAUAUUUAUUUUACCUAAAAUAUUUACACUUAAAAUUGUACCUAUUAAAUAUUUUACAAUUUCUCUAUUAUGAGUAACAUUAACUAUGUACUUCAAUACUAUAUUAUACUUAUCCAAUAAGAUUAUUGAUACUACAAUAGUACAGGUUUAAAACAUUAGGUUUAUAAUUUUACUGAUAAAUAUAAAACGCAUUUAUUGACUACCUACCUUCUUUUUGCAGGGUUUAUGAUCUGUGUUCGUAACUUUUACAGUUUACUAGUCCAAUGUUAAUUAUAUUUUAAGAUUUUAAGACAUUCUUCGAGUCCCUCAAAUCUUGUUUAAAAAUGCUUGUACCUAGUGUAAUGGCAGUUAAAAUAAUUUAACUAUAUGAAUUUGAGACCUAGUCAUUAUUGUUAAUUCUUCCUCCUAACAUAUAAUCACAUGUCACAUUAGUACUUAGUCGUCGAGGCGUAGCUGGAUAUUCUAUGGGACCAAACUCUUUCGACUGGAUGUGGUGGAACCCGGAGCGUAGAGCGAAUAUUUAAUCCCUGGGAGUGUGUUUACGUCCCAUUGGUUACGCCUUUGUCCUAUUACAUAUUAUCCACAUGUUACCGACUCAAUCGAUACCUUCCUUCUACGCCUUCAAAGUUUUAUCUAUUGACUGACAUAUGAGUGAUAAUUAUUGUGCUUGUGCUUUUAAUGUACCAAGUUACAUGUUUUUAAUUUAAGAUUUAUCAAGCAAAAUAAAAGAAACAUUACACGCUA